ACAACCCAGACCGCCAGCUAAGGUCCCAAAGUCAUGGUUAAGUGGGAAACGAUGUGGGAAGGCCCAGACAGCCAGGAUGUUGGCUUAGAAGCAGCCAUCAUUUAAAGAAAGCGUAAUAGCUCACUGGUCGAGUCGGCCUGCGCGGAAGAUGUAACGGGGCUAAACCAUGCACCGAAGCUGCGGCAGCGAACGUAUCACCAAAGACAACUUUACGGAGUUGACGAUUGACGGAGCGAAGCGACGUCAAAGCGUUAAUUAAAGUCGAGUUGGCUUAGGGAUACGUUCGUUGGGUAGGGGAGCGUUCUGUAAGCCUGUGAAGGUGUGUCGUGAGGCAUGCUGGAGGUAUCAGAAGUGCGAAUGCUGACAUAAGUAACGAUAAAGCGGGUGAAAAGCCCGCUCGCCGGAAGACCAAGGGUUCCUGUCCAACGUUAAUCGGGGCAGGGUGAGUCGACCCCUAAGGCGAGGCCGAAAGGCGUAGUCGAUGGGAAACGGGUUAAUAUUCCCGUACUUGGUGUUACUGCGAAGGGGGGACGGAGAAGGCUAUGUUGGCCGGGCGACGGUUGUCCCGGUUUAAGCGUGUAGGUGUGUGUUCCAGGUAAAUCCGGUUCACUUUAACACUGAGGCGUGACGACGAGGCACUACGGUGCUGAAGCAACAAAUGCCCUGCUUCCAGGAAAAGCCUCUAAGCAUCAGGUAACACGAAAUCGUACCCCAAACCGACACAGGUGGUCAGGUAGAGAAUACCAAGGCGCUUGAGAGAACUCGGGUGAAGGAACUAGGCAAAAUGGUGCCGUAACUUCGGGAGAAGGCACGCUGACACGUAGGUGAAGUGAUUUACUCAUGGAGCUGAAGUCAGUCGAAGAUACCAGCUGGCUGCAACUGUUUAUUAAAAACACAGCACUGUGCAAACACGAAAGUGGACGUAUACGGUGUGACGCCUGCCCGGUGCCGGAAGGUUAAUUGAUGGGGUCAGCGCAAGCGAAGCUCCUGAUCGAAGCCCCGGUAAACGGCGGCCGUAACUAUAACGGUCCUAAGGUAGCGAAAUUCCUUGUCGGGUAAGUUCCGACCUGCACGAAUGGCGUAAU
rnacentral:rRNA from 1 species